GCGCCCAGAGGCAGACAUUUCCAGCCCUCUGGGGAACAAGUCACUCCAUACUCUUGGCUCCUGAAAAGCUGGUUUAUUUUCUUCAUGGGAGGGGCUGGCUGGACUCCUCUUGAAUCUUCCAGGGCUGGGGUGCCCUGCCCACGUGGAAACGCCUCUCUGUAUCACUCUAUAAAUGUCUGCAGAGACCAAAGGGAGACCUGUGCACGGCCUUCUUCCCAGUCGUGAGACUCCAGCAGCUUCACCAUGAGGCUUCUAGUCCUUUCCAGCCUCCUCUGCAUUCUGCUCCUCUGUUGCUCCAUCUUCUCCUUGGAAGGGAGAAGACACCCUACCAAGCCCUGCAGACUCAGGUCUGGCUGCCACCGAGUUACUAGACACAGAGUGAUAAUCCAGAAAAGAAACCGCACAAGGAUGACAAAGCCGGCUCCGAAGCUUUGGGUGGUUCCGGGGGCUCUCCCACAGGUGUAGCGCUCUCAAAGCCUGGCUCCACCCAGCCGAGACCCUCAUGCCCAGCUCCGUGGACACUGGAAGCCUCAGUUGUUACCCCUCCCCCGCCCCCCGUCAACGUUCACAAUGGCAGUGUGCUGUGAUGGGGGAAAGGUUUCACCUUGGAUAAUAGGGACCUGGGGACAUUCUGGAACUCCCAAGUGCUGGUUCCAGUUGUGCCCCCAAGCUCCAGAAUUACUGCCACCGAGGCUCAGCCUCCUGUCUUCAGUCUCCGCGUGGUCCGUCCACAGUAACAGCGGAGGAUUCCAUCCUAACCUGCGGCAGCUACAAAUCCAGUGACUGCUGCACCUGCUGGCGUGCAGGACAGCAAGACCUCGGGGGGGGGGGGGGUGUCAUUCAGGCUUUCUCAGACACACCCACCAAGCUCUUGGCAUCUAACUGCCAGUCAGGGUGGUCCCCCCGAGGGAACCUCUCUUAACUUCCUAACAUGAGUUCUCUGGAAAGAACACCCAAACUGACAAUUAAUAAAUACA